rnacentral:rRNA from 1 species
GAUUAAGUUAUUAAGGGCGCACGGUGGAUGCCUUGGCACUAGAAGCCGAUGAAGGACGUUACUAACGACGAUAUGCUUUGGGGAGCUGUAAGUAAGCUUUGAUCCAGAGAUUUCCGAAUGGGGAAACCCAGCAUGAGUUAUGUCAUGUUAUCGAUAUGUGAAUACAUAGCAUAUCAGAAGGCACACCCGGAGAACUGAAACAUCUUAGUACCCGGAGGAAGAGAAAGAAAAUUCGAUUCCCUUAGUAGCGGCGAGCGAAACGGGAAGAGCCCAAACCAACAAGCUUGCUUGUUGGGGUUGUAGGACACUCUAUACGGAGUUACAAAGGACGACAUUAGACGAAUCAUCUGGAAAGAUGAAUCAAAGAAGGUAAUAAUCCUGUAGUCGAAAAUGUUGUCUCUCUUGAGUGGAUCCUGAGUACGACGGAGCACGUGAAAUUCCGUCGGAAUCUGGGAGGACCAUCUCCUAAGGCUAAAUACUCUCUAGUGACCGAUAGUGAACCAGUACCGUGAGGGAAAGGUGAAAAGCACCCCGGAAGGGAGUGAAAUAGAACCUGAAACCGUGUGCUUACAAGUAGUCAGAGCCCGUUAAUGGGUGAUGGCGUGCCUUUUGUAGAAUGAACCGGCGAGUUACGAUUUGAUGCAAGGUUAAGCAGUAAAUGUGGAGCCGUAGCGAAAGCGAGUCUGAAUAGGGCGUUUAGUAUUUGGUCGUAGACCCGAAACCAGGUGAUCUACCCUUGGUCAGGUUGAAGUUCAGGUAACACUGAAUGGAGGACCGAACCGACUUACGUUGAAAAGUGAGCGGAUGAACUGAGGGUAGCGGAGAAAUUCCAAUCGAACCUGGAGAUAGCUGGUUCUCUCCGAAAUAGCUUUAGGGCUAGCCUCAAGUGAUGAUUAUUGGAGGUAGAGCACUGUUUGGACGAGGGGCCCCUCUCGGGUUACCGAAUUCAGACAAACUCCGAAUGCCAAUUAAUUUAACUUGGGAGUCAGAACAUGGGUGAUAAGGUCCGUGUUCGAAAGGGAAACAGCCCAGACCACCAGCUAAGGUCCCAAAAUAUAUGUUAAGUGGAAAAGGAUGUGGCGUUGCCCAGACAACUAGGAUGUUGGCUUAGAAGCAGCCAUCAUUUAAAGAGUGCGUAAUAGCUCACUAGUCGAGUGACACUGCGCCGAAAAUGUACCGGGGCUAAACAUAUUACCGAAGCUGUGGAUUGUCCUUUGGACAAUGGUAGGAGAGCGUUCUAAGGGCGUUGAAGCAUGAUCGUAAGGACAUGUGGAGCGCUUAGAAGUGAGAAUGCCGGUGUGAGUAGCGAAAGACGGGUGAGAAUCCCGUCCACCGAUUGACUAAGGUUUCCAGAGGAAGGCUCGUCCGCUCUGGGUUAGUCGGGUCCUAAGCUGAGGCCGACAGGCGUAGGCGAUGGAUAACAGGUUGAUAUUCCUGUACCACCUAUAAUCGUUUUAAUCGAUGGGGGGACGCAGUAGGAUAGGCGAAGCGUGCGAUUGGAUUGCACGUCUAAGCAGUAAGGCUGAGUAUUAGGCAAAUCCGGUACUCGUUAAGGCUGAGCUGUGAUGGGGAGAAGACAUUGUGUCUUCGAGUCGUUGAUUUCACACUGCCGAGAAAAGCCUCUAGAUAGAAAAUAGGUGCCCGUACCGCAAACCGACACAGGUAGUCAAGAUGAGAAUUCUAAGGUGAGCGAGCGAACUCUCGUUAAGGAACUCGGCAAAAUGACCCCGUAACUUCGGGAGAAGGGGUGCUCUUUAGGGUUAACGCCCAGAAGAGCCGCAGUGAAUAGGCCCAAGCGACUGUUUAUCAAAAACACAGGUCUCUGCUAAACCGUAAGGUGAUGUAUAGGGGCUGACGCCUGCCCGGUGCUGGAAGGUUAAGAGGAGUGGUUAGCUUCUGCGAAGCUACGAAUCGAAGCCCCAGUAAACGGCGGCCGUAACUAUAACGGUCCUAAGGUAGCGAAAUUCCUUGUCGGGUAAGUUCCGACCCGCACGAAAGGCGUAACGAUUUGGGCACUGUCUCAACGAGAGACUCGGUGAAAUCAUAGUACCUGUGAAGAUGCAGGUUACCCGCGACAGGACGGAAAGACCCCGUGGAGCUUUACUGUAGCCUGAUAUUGAAAUUCGGCACAGCUUGUACAGGAUAGGUAGGAGCCUUUGAAACGUGAGCGCUAGCUUACGUGGAGGCGCUGGUGGGAUACUACCCUAGCUGUGUUGGCUUUCUAACCCGCACCACUUAUCGUGGUGGGAGACAGUGUCAGGCGGGCAGUUUGACUGGGGCGGUCGCCUCCUAAAAGGUAACGGAGGCGCUCAAAGGUUCCCUCAGAAUGGUUGGAAAUCAUUCAUAGAGUGUAAAGGCAUAAGGGAGCUUGACUGCGAGACCUACAAGUCGAGCAGGGUCGAAAGACGGACUUAGUGAUCCGGUGGUUCCGCAUGGAAGGGCCAUCGCUCAACGGAUAAAAGCUACCCCGGGGAUAACAGGCUUAUCUCCCCCAAGAGUUCACAUCGACGGGGAGGUUUGGCACCUCGAUGUCGGCUCAUCGCAUCCUGGGGCUGUAGUCGGUCCCAAGGGUUGGGCUGUUCGCCCAUUAAAGCGGUACGCGAGCUGGGUUCAGAACGUCGUGAGACAGUUCGGUCCCUAUCCGUCGUGGGCGUAGGAAAUUUGAGAGGAGCUGUCCUUAGUACGAGAGGACCGGGAUGGACAUACCUCUGGUGUACCAGUUGUCGUGCCAACGGCAUAGCUGGGUAGCUAUGUGUGGACGGGAUAAGUGCUGAAAGCAUCUAAGCAUGAAGCCCCCUCAAGAUGAGAUUUCCCAACUUCGGUUAUAAGAUCCCUCAAAGAUGAUGAGGUUAAUAGGUUCGAGGUGGAAGCAUGGUGACAUGUGGAGCUGACGAAUACUAAUCGAUCGAAGACUUAAUCAA